GAUGAACGCUGGCGGCGGGCCUAAUACAUGCAAGUCGAGCGAACAGAUGAGGAGCUUGCUCCUCUGACGUUAGCGGCGGACGGGUGAGUAACACGUGGAUAACCUACCUAUAAGACUGGGAUAACUUCGGGAAACCGGGGCUAAUACCGGAUAAUAUAUUGAACCGCAUGGUUCAAUAGUGAAAGACGGUUUUGCUGUCACUUAUAGAUGGAUCCGCGCCGCAUUAGCUAGUUGGUAAGGUAACGGCUUACCAAGGCAACGAUGCGUAGCCGACCUGAGAGGGUGAUCAGCCACACUGGAACUGAGACACGGUCCAGACUCCUACGGGAGGCAGCAGUAGGGAAUAUUCCGCAAUGGGCGAAAGCCUGACGGAGCAACGCCGCGUGAGUGAUGAAGGUCUUCGGAUCGUAAAACUCUGUUAGUAGGGAAGAACAAAAGUGUAAGUAACUAUGCACGUCUUGACGGUACCUAAUCAGAAAGCCACGGCUAACUACGUG
rnacentral:rRNA from 1 species